GAGCCACAUCUCCAGCCCCUCUGUUUAUUUCUUUAACCUAAGGGCUAUUUUAAAAAUGGCUUAACAAUGUUUGGGGGUUAGUGUUUUCUUUUUUGAAGGAGAAAGUUUUUCACUGUUAAUUUCAGGCUUUUUGCAAUAUAUUAAUAGGAUGUGACCUGUUAUGAUUUCUACUUUUAGGAAUUUGUUUUCUAAGGCCUGGCACAGUAGUGCAUACCUAUAAAUCCCAGCUGCUCAGAAGGAUGAUGAGGCAGGAGGAUUCCAAGUUUGAGGUCAGCCUGGACAACUUAGUGAGACCCUGUCUCAAAAUAGGGGUGGUGGUGUUAUAUUUAGAAGCAUUACAAUUUCAUAUCUUUUGGGCGUGGGUUUCUAUAUAUAGUGGACUCUAUUAGCCAACUAAGCCAAUUAAUCAAAAUCUUUCUGUCCUUGAGACCUGUUUAAAGCUUCCUUGUUCACGUAGUUUUGGCCCAUUUUUCUCUUUUUCUAUAAGUUCUUACUUUAUAUAUUUGUUGUAACUUUAUGUUCUGAAAGUCUAUUUCUGAAAGUCUAUCUAAUUUAAUACUAACUUCCUGAUUUCUUAAGUCCUUCCUAAUUCUAAGACUCAGAGAUUCUACCUCCAGAAAUGGAACUCAGAGAAUGCUGAGAUUCUGAUCUUCUGACUGAUGCUUAGCUAGGCAAUAUUGCUGAGCUUCUGGGUGGCACAACUGAUUACUCUGGGGUUUUUCUGCUGUUGCUAGCCCUGGACAUUAGUAUCCAUGUCACUGAUAACAGUUAAAUGUCCAAAAGGGUAAGAACAUGAUUUAACCAUUAACUCUUUAAAAACCUCCCUUUUUCCAGGUGGGGUGGACAGAGGCCUGUAAGCCAACAGCCUGGAGAGUUUGAGUAACAUAAUCUCGGAUUACUUCUCCAGCUUCAACACAAGUUCCUACCUCGCCUUCUUCGGCUGCGGCUUCUUUCAAGUCCGCAUCUCCAUCUCCAUCCGUUUCCUCUGGGAUUCCGUCGUUGUCGGUAGUCCCGGGGACACCGGGAGGAACGGUCGUCUCAUCUGACUCCCCUGUCUCUCCACCUUUGUCCGCCGGCGACUCUCGGGCAUUGUCCAUCGCCGCCGCGAUUGGAGCAGAGAUCUCAGAGCUGUCAGGUGCGGCGCUGCACAGUAGGUCAGGAGCUUACUUCCUGCUGUCGCGCUGCGAUGACAUCACCUCUACAGCUCCUCGGAGGGGUCAUUUUGAAGCGCGCUAAGUGACUUGAAGAGCUUUGGCUUUGUGGUAGUGGGAAGAAGAAAAAUAGGAAGUGUGCAUUCUCCUUUCUAGAAAACCAGCAUUUGUGAGGGAGAGCAGUUUUGUUCACUGAAAGACUCAUUUUUUUUCCUUUCCGCAUUUCUAAUAAUAUAAUGUUAACCCCUUCCUUAGCCUCUCUCCCUCAGAGUAAAGUUAGGGGACGGGGUUAAAACUCAGUUCCGUUGCAUGUUGGUGUCGGGGAUUGCAGCUACCUUUGGCUGGCAAACUUUUAAGCAGGGAUUCAGGCUUGUACCUUCCAAUUAGACUGUGGCCGCAGGCCUGUAUUUACAAUUGAAUGGUUAGCAUUUCCUUUCUGUUUCGCAACCACUUAAGCGGGAGUGGAGAUGGGAGAGGGACUGGGAGAGCCGAAGCAGAUUUAAUCUAAUUCACUUAUUCACUCCACAACUAUUGAUCGCUUACUUCGAGUCAGGAACAUUGCUAGUAUCGUGGAUCGACAGACAAUUUCUACUGAACCACUUUCUUUUUAUUUUUUUCUCCAGCUCAGCAGUAGUAACCAAACUUAAGAUCGAGUGCGGUUUCACAAACCUGACUUUUUCUUUUAAAAAUUAGUUUGGUUAAUUUCUUCAAAACUAGGAAGAAAGCCUACAAAGAGGGAGGUCUCUCUUUUACAAGUUUCACUUAAAUGAAUCUUUUCAUGGAGUGGCAAUGAUAUUUUUUAUUUUAACAAUUUCCUGUCUUCCAACAUUGA